UGCACAGUGGUGCAGUUGGUAGCACUGUUGCCUUACAAGAAGGUCCUAGGUUCGACUCCUGGCUGGGGGUCUUUCUGCAU